UACGUAGGGGGCGAGCGUUGUCCGGAUUUAUUGGGCGUAAAGAGCGCGCAGGCGGUCGAUCAAGUCGAGUGUGAAAGCCCCCCGGCUCAACUGGGGAGGGUCAUUCGAAACUGGUCGACUCGAAGGCAGGAGAGGGUAGUGGAAUUCCCGGUGUAGUGGUGAAAUGCGUAGAUAUCGGGAGGAACACCAGUGGCGAAGGCGACUACCUGGCCUGUUCUUGACGCUGAGGCGCGAAAGCUAGGGGAGCAAACGGGG
rnacentral:rRNA from 1 species